CUGUGGUGUGUUGGUCAGAGUGUGACCAACAAAAAUAGCAUUCAACAAUUAUAAAGAAUAAAGAGUUAUAUAAAAAUAAAGUUAGGAAGUACAGAUAUGGAAUGAAAUGUGCAUAAAUACGAUUCUGCCCGACUUGCUGAGUUCCUCCAGCUCAAGGAAUCUCUUGGAUGAGAGGGCUGUCCUCCUAAGAGGGUCUGGACAAACUUGCAGGAACAUCAUCAAAGUCCUCACCCACCUUGGACAUUCUCUCUCCUCCCCUCUCCCACUGGACAGAAGAUACAAAAGCCUGAAAGCACCUAUCACCAGACUCAAGGACAGCUUCGAUCCCACUGUUAGUAGGCUUGAAUGAUAAGAUGGGACUCUUGACCUCACCAUCUACCUCGUUACAAUAUUGCAUUUUAUUGUCUAUCUGCACUGCACUUUUUUCGUAGCGUUUACACUUUAUUCUGCAUUGUUAUUCUAGCUCAAUGCUCUGUGUAAUGAUCUGAUUUGUAUAAACAGAAUCAGAAUGAGGUUUAAUAUCACUGACAUAUAUUGUGAAAUCUGUUGUUUUGCAGCAAUAGCACAAAGUAAUAUAUAAAGGAAUUAUAAAUUAUAACAAU